CUUUGCUCUCCCCCAAAACCGAGCACAUAGAACACGAUAAAAAUGAUGACGCAAGAGACAGAAACUGUAAAGAGGGAACGCAUCAAUGAAGGCAUGCCUCCAAGAGGAGCAGGAUUGCCAAGACCGUCAAAAUCUGGAACGACACCCAGCAGAAAAGGAGCCAGGAGGAAACAGAACAGGAGGUCAACACUUAGUUCAAAAACGUUUUGCGCUCAUCAACACAGAACUGACUGCCAGCCUUUAAAGCACGUGUCAUCUAGACUGGAUAAGGAUGGAGGGGCCCACUGCACUGACAAGGACAACGCAUGUUAAAACAGGGUACCAGGAAGUGUGAAUGACACCGGAUAGCUGGUGUUAGGGGCUGUCCUUCCACCUCCCCCAAGUUACCCAAUGAGGAAACUCUGAUUCUCAACUCAGAAGGUCGCUGGUCUCCAGGAGGCUGCCACUACAGGAAACAGUUGGGGAACUGAGCUAGAAGCACUCCAUACGCUUUGGGAAAAGAUGGAGCCAUUUCUAGCUGUGCCCAGAAGGAGGCUGUUCAAGGCUGUUCUGGGCUCCAUGACCUUCAGAACGACUUCAGGUUUCUAUUCUCAGGCUCCAUCUCUUGUCAAUAGUGACCUAUUGUUGCCAUUAAUUUUAUUCCCAAUCCUGCUUUGUCCUUAAUUUCACUUCCCCUCCUAUUUUAACCUUCCCUUUUAUGGUUUUGAAGCUAGGAAGCAAAGAAAGCCGUAAACCCACCCUACACUCAGCUUUUGCCUGAUUCAUAAGACUGAAGCCUUUGGCGUCUCACAGAGCAGGACUGAGCCCUGUCAAGUCGCAAAGAGCAGCUAAAAACAGCUGCAUACAGCUCAGCAUUUGCAUGGAAAAUUCUACCGGGAAGCGGGGCGGUAGCAGCGGCGGGGGCAGGGGGACCUGAUUUACUUUCCGUAAAAAUUGUUAUGAUUUUUCACCCCGGCUAGAAGGAGGCUAGUUAAGAUUGCAAAGAUUAUAGGAAUUUGAAGUUCACUUCAUUCCUAAUAAGGAGAAAACUAGAGAGAUACAUUUAUGAAUCCUCGGAGG